rnacentral:tRNA from 1 species
AAAUAAGAAUUAAUAUUAAAUUAAAUUUAAUUUCGACUUAAACCUAGGGUAUCUAAUACCCCUUAUUUU